CAGCCGCCACGGGAAUACGGAGGGGGCUAGCGUUGUUCGGAAUUACUGGGCGUAAAGCGCACGUAGGCGGCUUGGUAAGUUAGAGGUGAAAGCCCGGAGCUCAACUCCGGAAUUGCCUUUAAGACUGCAUCGCUUGAAUCCAGGAGAGGUGAGUGGAAUUCCGAGUGUAGAGGUGAAAUUCGUAGAUAUUCGGAAGAACACCAGUGGCGAAGGCGGCUCACUGGACUGGUAUUGACGCUGAGGUGCGAAAGCGUGGGGAGCAAACAGGAUUAGAUACCCCAGUAGUCCCUGUCUCUUAUAC
rnacentral:rRNA from 1 species